rnacentral:rRNA from 1 species
GACGAACGCUGGCGGCGUGCCUAAUACAUGCAAGUAGAACGAUGAAGGAGGAGUUUGUCCUUCUGUCUGAGUUGCGAACGGGUGAGUUACGCGUAGGUCUCCUGCGUGGUGGCGGGGGAUAACUGUUGGCGACGAUAGAUAAUACAGCCUAAGAGUAGAUGUUGCAUGAGAUUUGCUUAAAAGGUGCAAUUGCAUCACUCCUAGAUGGGAUUGCGUUGUAUUUGCUCGUUGGGGGGGUGACGGCGCACCACGGCGACGAGACAUAGACGACCUGAGAGGGUGAUCGGCCACACUGGGACUGAGACACGGCCCAAACUCCUGCGGGAGGCAGCAGUAGGGGAACUUCGGCAAUGGACGGAAGGCUGACCGCGCAACGCCGCGUGAGGGAAGGAGGUUUUCGGGUCGUAAAACUCUGUUGGGAGAGAAGAACGUGGAGGAGAGUGAAAAGUUCAUAUUGUGACGGUACCUAACCAGAAAGGGACGGCUAACUACGUG